rnacentral:rRNA from 1 species
AUUGAACGCUGGCGGCAGGCCUAACACAUGCAAGUCGAGCGGAUGAAGGGAGCUUGCUCCUGGAUUCAGCGGCGGACGGGUGAGUAAUGCCUAGGAAUCUGCCUGGUAGUGGGGGAUAACGUCCGGAAACGGGCGCUAAUACCGCAUACGUCCUGAGGGAGAAAGUGGGGGAUCUUCGGACCUCACGCUAUCAGAUGAGCCUAGGUCGGAUUAGCUAGUUGGUGGGGUAAAGGCCUACCAAGGCGACGAUCCGUAACUGGUCUGAGAGGAUGAUCAGUCACACUGGAACUGAGACACGGUCCAGACUCCUACGGGAGGCAGCAGUGGGGAAUAUUGGACAGUGGGCGAAAGCCUGAUCCAGCCAUGCCGCGUGUGUGAAGAAGGUCUUCGGAUUGUAAAGCACUUUAAGUUGGGAGAAAGGGCAGUAAGUUAAUACCUUGCUGUUUUGACGUUACCAACAGAAUAAGCACCGGCUAACUUCGU